AUAAGGUGGAAACGGAGAGAGCCGACGUAUCUGGCCUGUAUUAAGCCGGGUGGCUGUUCAUCGCUGAUUAGUCGGUCCUGCUUUUGGCUGGCUGGUCAGUGGUUGGGCGGUUUUACCGGUGCAUUUGCAGGUGGUGUGCGCCGAAGCUCGCACCAUGCAUCGGCUGGAUAGUUGCUUUGAGGUCUCCCUUCGGGCGAGAAACCCAAGCUUCUGGAAGGCUGUUUGCUGUGCGUGUAGCUUGGUCCACGGUUUUCGGUUGAGUCGGCAGAUGGUUCUUCCUGGGAUUAUGGUCUCAUGCGACUGUGUCUCAUUGGGUUCUGGCUGUCGGUAAGGCCCCGUGGCAUUCUUCGGUGUAAAAGUCGGUCAUCUCUCCGACCCGUCUUGAAACACGGACCAAGGAGUUUAACGAGUGCGCGAGUCAUUGGGUGUGAAAACUCAAAGGCGCAAUGAAAGUAAAGGUUCGCUUGACGAUCUUAUAUGCGAUCUCGGUGGUUUCGGCCAUUGAGAGCAGCAUAGCCCCGUCCCGACUGCUUGCACUGGGGCGGAGGAAGAGCGUACUCGCUGAGACCCGAAAGAUGGUGAACUAUGCCUGAGCAGGACAAAGCCAUAGGAAAC
rnacentral:rRNA from 1 species